UACGGGGGGGGCAAGCGUUGUUCGGAAUUACUGGGCGUAAAGGGCUCGUAGGCGGCCAACUAAGUCAGACGUGAAAUCCCUCGGCUUAACCGGGGAACUGCGUCUGAUACUGGAUGGCUUGAGUUUGGGAGAGGGAUGCAGAAUUCCAGGUGUAGCGGUGAAAUGCGUAGAUAUCUGGAGGAAUACCGGUGGCGAAGGCGGCAUCCUGGACCGGCAUUGACGCUGAGGAGCGAAAGCUAGGGGAGCAAACGGG
rnacentral:rRNA from 1 species